GAUGAACGCUGGCGGCGUGCCUAAUACAUGCAAGUCGAGCGAACAGACGCGGUGCUUGCUCCUCUGACGUUAGCGGCGGACGGGUUACUAACAAGUGGAUAAGCUACCUAUAAGACUGGAAUAACUUCGGGAAAUCGGAGCUAAUACCGGAUAACAUGUUGAACCGCAUGGUGCAACAGUGAAAGACGGUCUUGCUGCCACUUGUAGAUGGAUCCGCGCCGGAUUAGCUAGUUGGUCAGGUAACGGCUUACCAAGGCGACGAUGCGUAGCCGCCCUGAGAGGGUGAUCGGCCACACUGGAACUGAGACACGGUCCAGACUCCUACGGGAGGCAGCAGUAGGGAAUCUUCGGCAAUGGGCGAAAGCCUGACGGAGCAACGCCGCGUGCGUGAAGAAGGUCUUCGGAUCGUAAAACUCUGUUAUUAGGGAAGAACAGAUGUGUAAGUAACUAUGAACGUCUUGACGGUACCUAAACAGAAAGCCACGGCUAACUACGUG
rnacentral:rRNA from 1 species